rnacentral:rRNA from 1 species
UACGGAGGGUGCAAGCGUUAUCCGGAUUCACUGGGUUUAAAGGGUGCGUAGGUGGAUUGGUAAGUCAGUGGUGAAAUCUCCGGGCUUAACCCGGAAACUGCCAUUGAUACUAUCAUUCUUGAAUAUUGUGGAGGUCAGCGGAAUAUGUCAUGUAGCGGUGAAAUGCUUAGAUAUGACAUAGAACACCAAUUGCGAAGGCAGCUGGCUACACAUAUAUUGACACUGAGGCACGAAAGCGUGGGGAUCAAACAGG